AACGCACAUUGCGCCCUCUGGUAUUCCGGGGGGCAUGCCUGUUCGAGCGUCAUUAUAACCACUCAAGCCCUCGCUUGGUAUUGGGGUUCGCGGUUUCGCGGCCCCUAAAAUCAGUGGCGGUGCCUCUCGGCUCUACGCGUAGUAAUACUCCUCGCGAUUGAGUCCGGUAGGUUUACUUGCCAGCAACCCCCAAUUUUUACAGGUUGACCUCGGAUCAGGUAGGGAUACCCGCUGAACUUAA
rnacentral:misc_RNA from 1 species